GGGGAAUCUUGCGCAAUGGGCGAAAGCCUGACGCAGCCAUGCCGCGUGAAUGAUGAAGGUCUUAGGAUUGUAAAAUUCUUUCACCGGGGACGAUAAUGACGGUACCCGGAGAAGAAGCCCCGGCUAACUUCGUGCCAGCAGCCGCGGUAAUACGAAGGGGGCUAGCGUUGCUCGGAAUUACUGGGCGUAAAGGGCGCGUAGGCGGACAGUUUAGUCAGAGGUGAAAGCCCAGGGCUCAACCUUGGAAUUGCCUUUGAUACUGGCUGUCUUGAGUACGGGAGAGGUGAGUGGAACUCCGAGUGUAGAGGUGAAAUUCGUAGAUAUUCGGAAGAACACCAGUGGCGAAGGCGACUCACUGGCCCGUUACUGACGCUGAGGCGCGAAAGCGUGGGGAGCAAAC
rnacentral:rRNA from 1 species